AUGGUUGCACAUGCAAAGAGAGUAAUGGGUAUUUGUAUUGUUGUCUGGUUGGAUGAAAAUGAAGAUAAAUGUCAAGUAUUUAACGAUUGAUGUUGUUAUAGAUCAGCUCCUCCUUCAUAAAAAGGUAGAAUUGAUUAAUGGGAAGUUUGCAGUAUGUUUAUCAAUAUCAAUGGUUUAUGGAUGAUAUUUUGAUGGGGCAGCAAGUGAUUGCAGAUUCAUUCCACAACCACAGGCACCACUUGAUGGAGGCUCUGUAAGUCAAUGGCCGAUACUUUGUGAAAGAAAAGGUGAUUAGAGAAUUGAUGAUUUUGCUCCAAGUGAUUGCAAAUUCGUCGGAUCUGAUAGGAAUUUGGCGAAAAGGGUGAAUGUGAAUCACUGAUGUUGGGAAGAAAAUGAUUUUGGGUAUAAAUUGAUGUUUCUUGAAAAAUAUUGAUGGUUGAAUGUGGUCCAUCGGGUCGGAUCCAAUAAAGACCUUAUUCGAACAGUUCAUCUUCUUUACCCGUUUCUCUGCUGCUGUAAUAUGUUUAAAUCCGAAUCAUCUGCUCGAUCUGAUGAAUUUUCUCAGACAUAAAUACAAAGAGUCAUCAUAUAGAAGGCCUCCCUUUGGUCGGCCAAUAAUCGGUAAUCAACACCUCAAUCGGUAGUAAAUAUAGACUUAGUAGUUACCGAUUAAUGUGUGUAUGCCUUUUUAUAAUCGGUAGAAGAAGAACGUCAACUUGUUGAAGAUCAAUCUUCCCUACCGUUUAGAGAAGACGAUUUGGGUUAUAUGUUGAAUGAUCCAAACUUUCAUGAAGAUGAAACCCUAGACGACGCUUUAUGGAAGAAAACGGAGAAUCACCCGAGAUCGAAGCUAACGAUACAUCAAAUGUAUCCAUAAUCGGAUGCUAUGUAGGUUAAGCAACCUACCGAUUAUUAUAUUCGGUAGUUAAUGUAUUUAAUUUAUAUUCCGAUUACGGGUUUCCCAAAAAUGUGAUUUUUCUUAAAUCCUUUGUUUGAUGAAUUUUGA